AUGAGAACCAAUCCUACCACUUCUCCUCCCGGGGUUUCCACAAUUGAAGAAAAAAGUACAGGUCAUAUCGAUCAAAUUGUUAGACCUGUGUUGGAUGUCACUUUUCCCCCAGGCAAGUUACCUUAUAUUUAUAAUGCUUUGGCAGUACAGAGUAGAGACACUGCAAAUAAGCAAAUCAAUGUGACUUGUGAGGUACAACAAUUAUUAGGAAAUAAUUGA
rnacentral:rRNA from 1 species